UACGGAGGGUGCAAGCGUUAUCCGGAUUCACUGGGUUUAAAGGGUGCGUAGGUGGGCAGGUAAGUCAGUGGUGAAAUCUCCGGGCUUAACCCGGAAACUGCCGUUGAUACUAUCUGUCUUGAAUGUAGUGGAGGUGAGCGGAAUAUGUCAUGUAGCGGUGAAAUGCUUAGAUAUCGUCAGGAAUGCCGGUGGUGAAGACGGGUGACUGGGCUGGUUCUGACACUGAGGCACGAAAGCGUGGGGAGCGAACGGG
rnacentral:rRNA from 1 species